GAAACGGUAGCUAAUACCGCAUAACGUCGCAAGACCAAAGAGGGGGACCUUCGGGCCUCUUGCCAUCGGAUGUGCCCAGAUGGGAUUAGCUAGUAGGUGGGGUAACGGCUCACCUAGGCGACGAUCCCUAGCUGGUCUGAGAGGAUGACCAGCCACACUGGAACUGAGACACGGUCCAGACUCCUACGGGAGGCAGCAGUGGGGAAUAUUGCACAAUGGGCGCAAGCCUGAUGCAGCCAUGCCGCGUGUAUGAAGAAGGCCUUCGGGUUGUAAAGUACUUUCAGCGGGGAGGAAGGGAGUAAAGUUAAUACCUUUGCUCAUUGACGUUACCCGCAGAAGAAGCACCGGCUAACUCCGUGCCAGCAGCCGCGGUAAUACGGAGGGUGCAAGCGUUAAUCGGAAUUACUGGGCGUAAAGCGCACGCAGGCG
rnacentral:rRNA from 1 species